rnacentral:rRNA from 1 species
AUUGAACGCUGGCGGCAGGCCUAACACAUGCAAGUCGAGCGGAUGAAGGGAGCUUUCUCCUGGAUUCAGCGGCGGACGGGUGAGUAAUGCCUAGGAAUCUGCCUGGUAGUUGGGGAUAACGUCCGUAAACGGGCGCUAAUACCGCAUACGUCCUGAGGGAGAAAGUGGGGGAUCUUCGGACCUCACGCUAUCUGAUGAGCCUAGGUCGGAUUAGCUAGUUGGUUGGGUAAAGGCCUACCAAGGCGACGAUCCGUAACUGGUCUGAGAGGAUGAUCAGUCACACUGGAACUGAGACACGGUCCAGACUCCUACGGGAGGCAGCAGUGGGGAAUAUUGGACAAUGGGCGAAAGCCUGAUCCAGCCAUGCCGCGUGUGUGAAGAAGGUCUUCGGAUUGUAAAGCACUUUAAGUAGGGAGGAAGGGCAGUAAGUUAAUACCUUGCUGUUUUGACGUUACCAAAAGAAUAAGCACCGGCUAACUUCGUG